AAAACCCAACAGAAACUAAGAUUAUAAUCUGUGCCUUUUAAAAAUUCCAUUCAACAUAUGUUCGUAAACAGACUUGAGCCAAAUUUCAGCUCCCCAAAAGAAUAUUCAGCCCGAGAACUUCUACAAAUGGAUGAUAAAGUCCUGCUUUUCCCCUUGUAAUCAUUGCUUUUCUGAGACACCAGAUCCUCUCUUAGCCUCAUUACAAGUUCCCACCAGCAUAAAAUGUAUUUUUCAUUUCCAUUUCCCAUAGUAUUGUUUUCCAAAAAUGGCAUUUCCCAGCACAAGACAACUCUCCUUCACUCCUUUUUUAUGUCACCUCCUCAAUACAAAAGCAUUGUCUCAGUGACAAGGUUCUGUUCUUCUAAAAAGAUGAAAAAAAUCCAAGUGGUACUAAUAAAUAUUUACUUAAUGUAAAGAAAAGGGAAUUCAACAGUUAAGGAUGAAAAUUACAGGGGGAAAAAAAUGGUGUUUGGGAAGGCAAGAAGUUCAGUGCUGUUUAUGAGAAUGACUGCUCAAUGGCUCCUUCUGGGACACAGCGAGAUGACUUCUUUAAAAGUAUGGUCUAGAAAUACCCCCAAAUCACUGAAAUUAUAAGUCACCCGAGUAUUUCAGCUGCAAUACAAAAUUAAGAAAUAUCAGGACACAUAAUGAAAAUGGUGGAAUGAAACCAGCAUUGCACUGAGUUCUCUACGUUAAAAGGGGAAGGGGGGCUGAAGUGAAAGGUUUUAUUUUUACUUAAUUACUCUCAGUGCUCCCUGGAGACUCCUUCCAAAGCGUAUUUUGUAUUUGGACCUAAAUGCAAGCAGGAUUCAGCCUUGAUCUUAUUCCUUAUGACAAUAGGUUUCUUAAAUUAGAAGUCCCACAACUGGAAUGUUGACACCACUGCUGGCUCCUCCAGCACCUCAGAGUCUCUCCUGUGUUAUCAAUCCAUUAACCUGGGAAGCAGUGAGAACAGGGGAACACAGACUGUUCAAAAUUAAAAAAUCCAUCCACAAAAUAAUAACUUGUGAGCUUACAGCAUCUUUCAUCCAUUUCUAUGUAAGUGGAAAUGGGAAGUCUCAAAAUACUUAAAAAAAAAAAACAAACCACCACAACAAACCCACCCAACUUCAAGGUAUUCUGAAAUGAUAACAUAUUAAUUGAGUGAGCAUCCACCUGUGAUGCGAUUUAAGAGUCUCCUACUGCAGCAUUUCACACAUAUUCAAUCCACCUUCUGGUUACAGCUUGCAAGUUUAUGGUAUGUAGAAGGAACAGCAGAGCUGGUUAAAGAUUUUCUCUUGCUUCACAUACUCUGCAAGCUUCUCAUUAACUCAUACAUGACUUUAAUCAGUGCUGAAGCACACACUUCCUUCAGCAUGCAGCAGGACUGGGCUGGGGGAAAAAAAAUCCUCCACAAAAUAUUGUUGUAACCAUGAAUUAAAAAAGAGAAGGGCAACGUUUUCCUAAACUGGCUGCUGAUUUUCAUCUCUAAAGGGUUAAACCGACCUUCGCUGAUCCAGAAGAGGCAAUAAAAUAGAACUUUAAGGACAAAAAUGGAGCACUUCAAGAGAUUAUUAUGAAGAGCCACAUUCAAGAAGACAAAACCUUAUUCUUAAAGCACAGAUGCUUCUGAAACAAGAGAUCGCAUGUUUUUAACAGCACAUUGCCAACUGCUUAAAAUGAAUAAGCAAAACUAGGGGAAUCAGGGUGGGUUUUUUUCCUUUUUCCUCGGAGCUGGGAGGGAAGGGGCAUUCAUGGAUGUGGUAGCAGAGCCAGCUCUGCACUUCUGCAGGGCUGUGGAGCUGGUGCUGGUCGGUGUGUGGGGGGAGAAAACAGAGUAAAGCCUGAGAAAAACCCAUCAGAGCUCCUGUCCUCCCCUUCCAGCGUUAAUGGGAGGGAUACGAGUCCAUGGGAGCUGCAGUGGGGGAUGGUGCUGGCGGAGGGGGUGGGGAGAACCGAGCGAGGCCUUACAACCAUCAGCAGCUCUUGUUCUUGUUCCUUUCAGCCUUAGCAGGAGGAUGUGAAGCUCAUGGAGCCGGCAGCGGGAUGGGGCGGGGGGGGAAGCAGUGCAGGAUCAUAGUUUAGCUUUUGUCCCCUCUCCACAGGGUUAAUAGGAGGACACGAGUGUCACCGGGAUAAGGGCAGGGCCGGGGGGGCACGGCCGGGAUCGCAGCUCCCGCAGGGCUGCUGGCAGCGAGUGCUGGGAUUUGUGGGGUCCUGUGCGGAGUCACAACACCCGCGGGCGAGGUGUGGGGGGGAACACGGGGCAAACUUCCCUCAACGUGGCGGCUCCGCUUAUCCAGCACGGCGAGCCCGCGGUGCCCCGCGGGGUGGGGCGAGCCCCGGCCUUAUCAGUGGGGCGCAGGGAGCGCGGCUCCGCGGCCGCGGGCAGGGAGGGAGCGAGGGAGGGAGAGCCCAGGUGUGCCGGCAGAGGGAAGGGGGGCACAGGCGGCCCCGCAGCCGCUCUGAGGGCGCCGCUUACCCGCAGCGGGAGCGCGGAGCUGAGGCACGACCCCCGCCCCAAACCAGGGGAAACUUUCCCCAAACUUUGGCGCGGGGGUCCCGUCCCCCCUCAGCGGCUCCCUCACGGCGCCCCCCCCCUCAGAGGCUGUUCCCGCCCCCGCCGCAGGGGAGGGGGGCGCUGUUCCCGGCUCCGCGCCGCGUUUUCCCGCUCACCCCCCGCUCCCCGCGCCUCCUCACUCCUCCGCGCCUCCGGAUCCCUCCGCCGCAGCCGGCGCUGGGGCUUUUUCACCUCCCCCACCCCCAUCCCUUCAUCCCGAUUAUCCGUCCGAAGCUGCGGGGAGGAUGCGGGAAGGGAAACGCUUCUCCCACCCCGUUCCUGUAACAGGCGCCCGGCUAAGGCACCGCUGGACGGAGCCUUUUGCCAAGUGAGGGAGAGGAGGCGGUUGGGACUACUUGGCCUUCCUGCCACGGCUUUGGCGGAAGGAGCGCGCUUGAGCGAGAGGCUGUGAGUGCUGCGGCUCUCCUCAGCGCUUCCUGGAAACUCCCGCUUAGGAGCGAGGGGGGCGGGAGCGAAAGAGUCCCAGGCCGGGAAGGGGAGGGGGGGCAGAGCACAGCCCCCUCCCCGUGCCCGGAUGCCGCUCGAGCCCGCUGACACCCCUCAGACCGACCCUCACCCCCUCUUCCUGUGCAGAUGAAGCAGGGAGAAUUCAGGGUCUACUGGAAAAGGCAGCCUCCAGCUCUUGGACCAGGAAUCAUCGCUUGGCUUUAGACUCCUCCAGCACCACUCGGGAGCUGUGAAGGAUAACCUGCCCAACACCGGGAUCCUCUGAGCAGCUGCGAAAGAAGGAUGAGGCACAAAGAGGAGGAACUCACCCAGGUCCCACCCGGCACUGCAGAAGGAACCAGAAUUACCAGCCCUCGCUCUGCCUCGCCCAGGGUGUGCCCUGAUGGAAACAAACUGUUGGACAUUUUCUCCAAACACACCUCUGCUGCUGCACAGGUUUCUAACACCAUCUGCUGUUUAAAAGGAAGAUGGCAUUGGAGCUCAGCAGCACCGAGAGCUUGUUUGAUAAACCAGGCGCGACACCAGCAAAUCUGGAACGUUUCUGUAAUUGCCACAAUCCCUUUUUUUUCCUUAUUUCAAGCCCUGAACAUAUUUUGAUUUGAUCUUCGUUAUGAAGUGAAUUAUUUCUUCUCCAGAGGAAGCAGAAUCCCAGUGAGCAGCAGCCGGGUGUCAGGUCCGCAACACUUCAGUUUUCAUUCACAGCCAUGAGGCUGUGCCAUUUCAGCACCAACACAAAUUUCAAGCAGUGUCACUCCCUCCAAAGCUUGGCCCAAAGAACCGAGUUAAAAAUGUUACCAUAGGAGAGAGCCAUGGUCUCCCUGGGGUAUGAGGAGCUCAAAGCAAAUAGUAUUUUCUAUUAAAAAUAAAAAUAUUGAUCUUUUGCUGGCUCACACUGCUGCCUGUAGAACAGAAUAAACAUUCUAACCAAG